rnacentral:rRNA from 1 species
GCAUGUUUCUAUACUUCUUAUACAAUUGCUAGAUUCUGUCUAGUCUCAGAAGCUAAGCAGGGCCAGCCCUACUUAGUACUUGGAUGGGAGACCACCAGUAAAUACUAGGUGCUGUAGCCU